rnacentral:rRNA from 1 species
UGGGGAAUAUUGCACAAUGGGCGCAAGCCUGAUGCAGCCAUGCCGCGUGUGUGAAGAAGGCCUUCGGGUUGUAAAGCACUUUCAGCGGGGAGGAAGGCGAUAAGGUUAAUAACCUUGUCGAUUGACGUUACCCGCAGAAGAAGCACCGGCUAACUCCGUGCCAGCAGCCGCGGUAAUACGGAGGGUGCAAGCGUUAAUCGGAAUUACUGGGCGUAAAGCGCACGCAGGCGGUCUGUCAAGUCGGAUGUGAAAUCCCUGGGCUCAACCUGGGAACUGCAUUCGAAACUGGCAGGCUAGAGUCUUGUAGAGGGGGGUAGAAUUCCAGGUGUAGCGGUGAAAUGCGUAGAGAUCUGGAGGAAUACCGGUGGCGAAGGCGGCCCCCUGGACAAAGACUGACGCUCAGGUGCGAAAGCGUGGGGAGCAAACAGG